rnacentral:rRNA from 1 species
AUUCCAGCUCCAAUAGCGUAUAUUAAAGUUGUUGCAGUUAAAAAGCUCGUAGUUGAACUUCGGAACCGGUCGAUUGGUCCGUCCUCUGGAUUGUGUACUGAUCGAUCUGUUCUUCUUCGCGAAGACCGCGUGUGCCCUUAACUGGGUGUGCACGGGAUUCACGACGUUUACUUUGAAAAAAUUAGAGUGUUCAAAGCAGGCAUUCGCUUGAAUAUCUCAGCAUGGAAUAAUAGAAUAGGACUUUGGUCUUAUUUUGUUGGUUUCCGGGACCGAAGUAAUGAUUAAUAGGGACAGUUGGGGGCAUUCGUAUUUCAUUGUCAGAGGUGAAAUUCUUGGAUUUAUGAAAGACGAACUUCUGCGAAAGCGUUUGCCAAGGAUGUUUUCAUUA